rnacentral:rRNA from 1 species
GACGAACGCUGGCGGCGUGCCUAAUACAUGCAAGUUGAGCGCUGAAGGUUGGUACUUGUACCAACUGGAUGAGCAGCGAACGGGUGAGUAACGCGUGGGGAAUCUGCCUUUGAGCGGGGGACAACAUUUGGAAACGAAUGCUAAUACCGCAUAAAAACUUUAAACACAAGUUUUAAGUUUGAAAGAUGCAAUUGCAUCACUCAAAGAUGAUCCCGCGUUGUAUUAGCUAGUUGGUGAGGUAAAGGCUCACCAAGGCGAUGAUACAUAGCCGACCUGAGAGGGUGAGCGGCCACAUUGGGACUGAGACACGGCCCAAACUCCUACGGGAGGCAGCAGUAGGGAAUCUUCGGCAAGGGACGAAAGUCUGACCGAGCAACGCCGCGUGAGUGAAGAAGGGUUUCGGAUCGUAAAACUCUGUUGGUAGAGAAGAACGUUGGUGAGAGUGGAAAGCUCAUCAAGUGACGGUAACUACCCAGAAAGGGACGGCUAACUACGUG